rnacentral:rRNA from 1 species
UACGGAGGGUGCAAGCGUUAUCCGGAUUCACUGGGUUUAAAGGGUGCGUAGGUGGGCAGGUAAGUCAGUGGUGAAAUCUCCGGGCUUAACCCGGAAACUGCCGUUGAUACUAUUUGUCUUGAAUAUAGUGGAGGUGAGCGGAAUAUGUCAUGUAGCGGUGAAAUGCUUAGAUAUGACAUAGAACAUCGAUUGCGAAGGCAGCUCGCUACACUAUUAUUGACACUGAGGCACGAAAGCGUGGGGAU